CUACAAUGAACUGGGACAUCCACCGCUCAAUCAGGUGCUCAGAGCCCAGUCCACUUUCUCCAUUACACUUAAAUCACAUGGUUUGAAUGAAAAGAGGACUCCCUAGCUUUUUGCACAUGGAGCAAUGAGUAGAGCAGAUUCUUUGGAUGUUUCCCCAUAAGCAAGAUUUAGAUGGGAACAAUUUGUGUUGAUGCUGAGUGUCGGGGAACCGUUAGGUAACCGCCUGAACUGAUGAUUGAGCAGCUGGUGAAGGGGUAUGGCUGACCCAGGAAGCACAGAUGCAAACAAUUUACCUGUGCUUCCCACAUGACCAGAAGGGGUGGGCCCAAGGGCCAAGCUCAUUUAAGGGGUAGCCUUUGAAGUAGGGCUGUUUCCUGCAUGAAGAUUUGUUCCUGAGAGGAAGUUCUACAGCUAGAGACCCUUACCACCAGCUGGGUGAGUCAACUUUUUUCUGGUAUAUACCUAUUGGUAUUCCUAGUAAUGUUUUGCCUGGUAUCAUAAAGAGCUUGUCAGAAGUAGUUUUGCUGCUUUGCAGGAUGAGUACUGAGGAAGAGUGUACAACUGUAUGGCUGCUACCCAUAUCUGAGGACCUCAGUCAUGGCCAUUCGCCCAUCCCUGCCUCACCUGUCAGAGCAGCCCACUGCCGCCUCCUCCAUCCCAACCCAUUAGCAGGGACAACUCCAUCUCCAUGCUCACAUCCCAUUGCACGAACCAGCUCCACCAUGGGAUCCAGGGCUGCUCACCACGGCAGCGGCUGCUCGGAUGGAGUCAUUUGAAUCCAUGAUUUAUGUGUUCUUCACACUUUAAUUGCAUGGCGGAAUCUCUCACUCUGGCAGUGUCUAAUCUCCCGACAUUUCACAUGCUCUGCCUGCGCGGUGGCGGAAGAUGAAUAGCCCAUUCAUGUGGGGAGUGCUUCACAUCCAAAUAUGCUGACUUACAAUGCUGAUAGACUGGAGCGAGAGAUGAAGGAUAGCAGCAGGGACUGGGUAACUUGUUGUGCCUGGCAAACCUCAUUGAUUCCAAAAUAAAAUGCGCUCUGUGUUUAUCUGUAAAUGAUGG
rnacentral:lncRNA from 1 species